GGUUCACUGGUAAGGGCAAUAAGUCAUAGAAGAAAUGUAAGUAGAAAGAUCAUUUGAAACCCCAAAUUAUUAAACAUUUUUUAUUCCUACUUUUAGUUUCUUCACCACAAUACCUUUUAACAGAGUCACUAACAAAAAAGGAGGGGAAAUCACGCACCGACUUUCCUCUCCUCCCUCAUCUGCCUUCUGCCUUCUGGAAGCCUUCAGAUGAGCUGGCAAUAGCCAGAAGAAUGAAGAAUAAAGGGUGUGAAUAACCCCUGCGCUUUAGCUUUCAGUUUCACUUUCUGACAAAGGAUCAGAGUCUUGCCCAAGGCUGGAACAACCUGGGGAGCCUGCAUUCAAGCUCUGUAUUCAGGAAAUAGUCAGCAUUCUGCAUCCCAGUCCUGGAGGCCCCCUGCUCAGGAAGCUUCCUCCCACAGGCUGCCUCUCCACCUAAGAACCGGGAUACCUGGGACAUUAGGUCCAACAUCCAUCGGCAUCACAGGUAUUGUCCACACUUGGACAGCCACUGAACAUGCCUCUGAGUAGCAGUGUUACCACUGAGGGCGGUGGGGUGGAGGGGAAGAAAACCAGUGCUGCACUUUUCAAUGGAAAUGCUCUCGUUUGAUCUCUCGUAUCAGUGAAGGUUGCUUUUUCUGCAAACCUGUCACUGCAUGUGAUGCCUCUAUUACAUACACAGCCUCUGGCAACAUGGACAAGGCUAAAUCCCUGCCCCAAAUCUAAAUGUGCCAAAGCAGAUCAAAAUAUGAGGUAGUGCUUAAGUUGAUAUGGACAGCAAUUCACAGGCACUGACAUCUAAGUUCUUUCUUUGUUUCUGUCAAUUUCCAACCGGACUGCGGCAACCUAACUGGAUACCCCAUCACUACCCUCCUCCUUCUCAAACCCCAUCUUCAUUCCUGCUCCUUAAAACCAUUAUCACCACCAGAAACUACCCAGAUCCCAGUACAUCCUACAAUGCUGAUCAUUGGAUUCUAGCAGAGAGGCAAUGGAAACACAACAUGACAUUUCCUGUUUCCAAACAGAGCCCAGGGAAAGCACCGCUCCACUGAUAAAUGCUUGCUUUCAGGCACUCCCAGCUACCCGCAGGUGGUUCAUAUGCAUACCCAGUUGGAGAGGGACUCUUUCCAGUCUAGACCAGCUGCUCCACUAAGCCAGCCUCUGGUUGCCUCAGCUAAAAAAUGCAUCAUCAUUUUUACGACGAUGCCCACAGAUUAAUAAACCAUAUGCAAAAAGACGGCCAUCCAAAUAAUUAAGCUUCCUAUUGCAGAUAUUGUAAAGUCAUGACAGAUCCAGGUGUGCCUGAAAUUCUGGCUCCUUUAUUCAGCACACUUACGAGCAGAUAAAGUCUUUUGUUAUAAACGUCAGGUGCCUUCUUAAAGCAUAGUGACAAACCAGGAUAAAAUAACUUCCUUUGGCCUUUCACCCAGAAUGCAAGCACUCCUCUCUGGGCAGGAAGGCACCAGUAGGAUGACUAUCAAAGCCCCC
rnacentral:lncRNA from 1 species